UACAUUCAAACACGUAUCGAAACUCCAAAGCAAACAGCCUUGGUUCUAACAUUAUUUUUGUCCUGCAGUUUUUCCCAGCAUCUUCUUCUCCCUAUAAAGAAAAUUACAGACUUUGUCACUCACAUUUGUUUCCAGUUUUGUUCCACCAUUCUAGUCACCUAUUAUGCAUUAUUUUAUUUAUCAUAUCUUUUUAAUAUAUAUUGACUAUAUUGUUUUGAUCUAGGAAGCUCGGACACAGCUCAUCCCCCUCGUACUGGUGUCAUACGUGUGUCCAACACAGACACUCGUCAUACACACCUGGAUACAUAUGGGACAUGCCGAAAUGUCGAAAAAAAAAGAGAUAUGAAUUUGGAGUGCCGAAAUUCAAAAUCAAACAAAAUGGUCUAAAUUAGAACGAAAAACAAAGAGGAAGGCUAAAUUGAAGAAUUGAAGAAUUAAUGGUUAACUGAUUAAAAUCAUAUUUUUGAAAUUUUCAAAAUUCUAUAAAUAAUUUAAAUUUGAUUUUUUGUUAA